rnacentral:tRNA from 1 species
AGGGGUGUAGUUCAAUUUGGUAGAGCACCGGUCUCCAAAACCGGAAGUUAGGAGUUCAAAUCUCUUCACCCCUG